ACCGUUUAAGUAAAUUUUCGACCCGCGGUGCACCAAUAGAUAUCAUGGUUCGACCCACCCCAUGUGCACAUACGGACCAAGCUAGGAUCAACUAUAACUAUAAAGAAUUUUAUUUCCAGAUUGUUGACUGGGCAGCUCAGCUCCACUCCACAAUCGAACCGAACCGAAACCGACAUGGUUGGAUCGUGUGAAGUUCAGUUCACAAGCUCUAGUGUCUAUCCGAUCAUUGCUUCGAGAAAACAAUAAGCAAAGUCUGAAUUGACCGCUCGUGAUAGAGCUCCACGCCUCCAUCACAAAUUAUAAACAGUGAACUGAGAAAACUGUCUACUUUGCCUUCUUUUUCCCCUAGUUCACAUUGGUGUCAAAACUUUUCACUGCAUGGAUCAAGUUCACAUUCAACUAGUGGAGUACUAACACAUUCAGAAUAGAUCUGCUCACAUUUAGAAACGCCUAAGCCUAACUACUAACUGAUAAUAGCAGGUGCACAUUGAAACAAAAAAUAGCAAGUGCAGAUAGCAGGUUUCUGGCCACAUUGAGAUGCAGGUUCCUAGACACAUUCAGAUAGCACAUUCAAACAAAAAAUAGCAGGUUCCUGGACACUUUCAGAUAGCAGGUUCCUGGAUAGUACUUCAGACACUAGUUCAGACAAGCUUUGCUCCAUCUGUCCUCAUAGCCCUACACAAAAAAGUUAUAAUUCAGUUACAGGUUAUCAUAGCUUUCAAAAAGAUAAGCUAGUGCAGCCAUAGCAAAUCUAAGAUUCUCAUCCUCUGUCCAAACCUGAAUGUUCUAUCUUAUUUCAGCCAACUCUAACAGAAAACUAAUUGUUAUUUUGUAUGGCAAAGAUCAGUGAGAGCUCAUUCAAACUGGGGCAGUUCAUGACCUACAAGUUGAUAGCCCAAAUCAACUUAUGCAAGAUAUAAGAUCAGGGAAUUGUGUAGCAAAUAAAUUUCAAAUCAACUUAUGCAAGAUAUAAAAUCAACUUGUAGCAAAUAAACGAAGUGUUGAAAGGCUUCUCUGUUGCAGCAAUAAAACAUUCCAAAUUUACAUGUCCCAAUUUACAACUUUAACAAGCAUUAAUUGUAGGAUUAAAAUCCCGGGGAUGCCCUGGUUGUUUCCUGGUUGCUCACAACGCGACCCGGAGCAGAUAAAGCCAUACCAGCUGUGGACCCAUGCGGCCAUGCUGACCGUGGCCGCUGGCCGCUGGCCGGGCACAUGAUUUCGUCGUGCCUGCAUAUGCUCUCCUUGCUCCCUCUCCUAGUUUUUUUUUUUAUUUUUGAAUUGCCCUCUCCUAGUUUUCUUCAUUGAAUUUGCGCAAGGAAUGAAACAGGAGAGAAGAAGACGCGUUGGGGCGCGGAGGUUGGGCGAUAGAGGUUGCAACUGCAACUGGCGGCAUGAGAGAAAAGAAGCGAUGUGUCUGUCAGUCUCAUUACUGCCCGUACUCGCGUAACAGUAGUUGAAAAAGAAAAACGCUCUCAAUGAAUUGUGUAUAGUAGACUAGUAGGCGGCACGCAUCCAUGCUGUUUGGUGUUGGCUGAUGCAAAAGCCUCAUUCUUUAAAGAACAGGGAAGAAAAUCUUUCUGCACCCAUCGUGUGCGUAAGCAAUGAC
rnacentral:lncRNA from 1 species